GGAGGGGUGGCAGAGCGGACGAUUGCGGUGGUCUUGAAAACCAUUGGCCGGCAACGGCUCGCGGGUUCGAAUCCCGCCCCCUCCGCCA
rnacentral:tRNA from 1 species